ACGCUCGACACCUACGGGAGGCAGCAGUGGGGAAUAUUGCACAAUGGGGGAAACCCUGAUGCAGCGACGCCGCGUGACUGAAGAAGUAUUUCGGUAUGUAAAGGUCUAUCAGCAAGGAAGAAGAAAGACGGUACUUGACUAAGAAGCCCCGGCUAACUACGUGCCUGCAGCCGCGGUAAUCUGAGCGGGCUGGCAAGGC
rnacentral:rRNA from 1 species